rnacentral:rRNA from 1 species
CACGCAGGCGGUCAUGUCAGUUUCUAGUGACAGGUCAGGGCUUAACCCUGGCAGGCCUGGAAAGACGGCAUGACUUGAGGGCUUCAGAGGGACGCGGAAUUCCAGGUGGAGCGGUGAAAUGCGUAGAGAUCUGGAAGAACACCAAAGGCGAAGGCAGCGUUCUGGGAAGUUACUGACGCUCAGGUGCGAAAGCCAGGGGAGCGAACGGGAUUAGAUACCCCGGUAGUCCUGGCUGUAAACGAUGACCACUAGACGUGGGGGGUAUCGACCCUUCCGUGUCGCAGCUAACGCUAUAAGUGGUCCGCCUGGGGAGUACGGUCGCAAGAUUAA